CGGUUUAGGUUCUAGGGGGCGCCAAAGAUAACCCUAAAAUCCACAUAUUUAAAAGUCUUAUAACUUUUUAUUUUUGUCCUCACUGGCCUCCAAGUUUUCUAGGAUGAUGCAAUGUCCAGCCAUCAACACAUUUGUGAAGGAAUUUUUACUCCCCAAAAGAGCGCCCCCCCAUGGCAGGAGAAAAAAGUCCAUUUUUUCUUGUCCCCUAAGGUGAAAAUACACAUUGUUGAGUGUCACGCCUAUACGCUUUGUCAAAAUGACACAAAAAUUGACACACACAUGUAACUCAAUAAGAUCUACGAAAAAGUCAAUGCGCGCGUAUCUGUCAAAUGUAUGGUUAAAGGGUUAUUUCGCAUUUUUUGCCGAUCCGCACACAUUGGAAUGUGGCUAACUCCUCCUAAGGCUUUCGUUCCACCGGCACCACAUUUGCUCAGGCCAAUCUACACCCCAUGGCCAUUAAAAGUUAUUCAAAUCAUGACGCUGCACCCCACGGUUUAGGUUCUAGGGGGCGCCAAAGAUAACCCUAAAAUCCACAUAUUUAAAAGUCUUAUAACUUUUUAUUUUUGUCCUCACUGGCCUCCAAGUUUUCUAGGAUGAUGCAAUGUCCAGCCAUCAACACAUUUGUGAAGGAAUUUUUACUCCCCAAAAGAGCGCCCCCCCAUGGCAGGAGAAAAAAGUCCAUUUUUUCUUGUCCCCUAAGGUGAAAAUACAUAUUGUUGAGAUUCACGCCUAUACGCUUUGUCAUAUUGACACAAAAUUUGACAAUCACGUGCCUUGCCUGGUAUCAUUUUUUUCAGCACAACCUCACCUGUGCGAAUUUACAGUUAUUUUAUCAUGUUGACAUACUGAAUUUACACAAUGGACCCAAAUUCACACACAAAACAUAAAAUCCGAGUGGAAAAAAGUAACAUUUUUACUGUGAAAACCACAAAUAUGUGUGAUGAACUGUUUUUAAAACUUAAACUUCAAAUAAAAAUUGUAAACUUCAAAACAUAUGCAAAUUUUUAACAAAGAACAUAGUGAUUUACCUCUAUUUACAUCAAAAUGCAGGCAAUGGCCCAGGCGUUCUUUGUAAAAUUAUUUACAAAACACUGUAUAGUCUCACAAAUGUCACUUUUUAUUUAUGCCACUACAAAAAAACAUGAUGUAAAUGAUGCAUGAUGUAAAACAUGAUGUAAAAAACUUGUGUAGAUCCUCCUCUAUGUCAGUCCAUGUGUAAUUUUUUCCAUAAUUCUUUGUUUUUUGCAGCAUUUUUGUUAGUGUAACUGCAGAUUGUGCUGACAGUGUCUAUGGCACAAAAAAAAAAAAUUUAAAAUGCCUCAACAUGAACCCCUGGUGGUCUCUGAGGGUGAAACCUGCUAACUGCUGCAGCUCUGUCAGCUUCAGUCUCCCAUGCAGAGCUCUGAGCGCAUGUGUGGCUCUGCACCCUUAGCAGCGUUGCUAACUCCUCAGUAAGGAAAGCCUGCUUCAUGUCAGAGUCUCUAAACUCCAGAAGAAGUCGAUAAAAGUCCCUUUCUUUCUAAAAAAAAGUCGUUAGGGGGUCUGAAAAGUCAUUGAAUCUAACAACAAAGUCGCUAGGUUUGCAACUACGUGUCCCAGACUGCAUCCCUGCUGAGAGUCCCUCCCUCGCUUCUCAUGUUGCAGGAAGAACGUAAGCACCCGCCCCUUGUCAAUCAGUCACCAUAUAAUUUUGGAUUGGUUGUUGUGGUGAAGUUUUCCACCAAUAGGAGAGAUGUUGUGGUGUGUUUUUUUUUCUUUUGGCAAGCCUUUUCCGCCUGUAAGACCUGUCGCUAAUGUCUGCAUGCUAUGUUUUCCUGUCUCAUACAGCGCGAUCGAGCGCCGAACGUGAUCAAAAUAAGCAGAAAACAAGUAUCGCAGACAUAAUUUAUCAUAACUCUGGUUUUAUUUGGCCUAUCAACACAAUUUAAAAACUGGUAUAUAGGUUGAGGUCCUCACUUUUGAGAUAAGUUGAAACGGAGAUUCAACGAGGCUCCGUCUUGCAGCUACAUCCGGUUAAAUAUGUCAUGUGACUUGAACGCACACACAGACACACACACAGGCACACACACACACACACACAGACACACACACACACACACACUCAGAGUCUGUUUUUUAGCACCUGCAAAAACAUGCUAUUUACAUAUUUGACAAGAAUGCAGAGGCUCCUUUUGCCCCUGAAAAAAAUCAAAUUUCAAACACAACUUGACUGGUCAUUUCUCCAAAAGACAACCAUGAAGCUCCAUCCAAACCUGAAGCAGGCAGUUGGUGCAUGUGUACAGUAACCUGAGGGGAGUGAGGUGAGUGCUUCUGAGGAGAACAUGAGCAGUGAAGAUUCACCUUGGAGCUAGAACAGAGACAUGCACAUGAUUAUACAGGGGCAGGGGCUCAAGUUUUUUCCAGUCGUUUAUACAAUAUGGAAAUUAAUGUGAAAUUAAAACACAAAGUAUUAAUAGAAAGGUAAUGACUGUCCUGUGUAGGUGACAGUGAUAUCCAAUAGGCUAGGCACUCACGAGGCUGGCUGUGGCAAGUGUAAGUGAAAGCAACACGCACUGGCAAGAAGAACAGCAAACGCCGAUGAAGGAAAAGGGUCUUUGCAGUGAUGGGCAUUACCAGAGAGGGCGAUGGCCAGAGGACACAAAUGGGACGGGGAGGCAGCACGUUGGGGGGGGGGCGCGACACGGCUCGGGCCCGCCAGUGCCCCAACGGGGUCCUAGUUAUUAUUAUUUUUCCUCCGCUUUAAACUGGAAAAUGGCCCACUUCCCACUGGCGAAAACUCAUGAAAUUUGGCAGGACGACCGGGCCUGGUGAAAAAUUCGAUAUUUUGAAGUCGCCCAAACAAUAAAAUGCAAAAUGGCUCCAUAGCGCCCCCUAAGGUGGAAAUUCACACUAUUGACUGUCACGUCUGUACGUUUUGUCAUAUUGACACAAAAAUUGACACACAUAUGUAUCUCAAUAAGAUCUACAAAAAAGUCAGUGGGGGCGUAUCUGUCAAAUGUACGGUUAAAGGGUUAUUUCGCAUUUUUUGCCGAUCCGCACACAUUGGAAUUUCGCUAACUCCUCCGAAGGCUUUCGUUCCACCGGCACCACAUUUGCUCAGGCCAGUCUACACCCCAUGGCCAUUAAAAGUUGUACAAAUCAUGACGCUGCACCCCACGGUUUAGGUUCUAGGGGGCGCCAAAGAUAACCCAAAAAUCCACAUUCUUAAAAGUCUUAUAACUUUUUAUUUUUGUCCUCACUGCCCUCCAAGUUUUCUAGGAUGAUGCAAUGUCCAGCCAUCAACACAUUUGUGAAGGAAUUUUUACUCCCCAAAAGAGCGCCCCCCCAUGGCAGGAGAAAAAAGUCAAUUUUUUCUUGUCCCCUUACAUGAAAAUACACAUUGUUGAGUGUCACGCCUGAACGCUUUGUCAUAUUGACACAAAAAUUGACAAUCAUGUGUAUCUCAAUUAGAUCUACGAAAAAGUCAGAGAGCGCGUAUCUGUAUAAUGUACGGUUAAAGGGCUAUUUCGCAUUUUUUGCCGAUUCGCACACAUUGGAAUGUGGCUAUCUCCUCCUAAGGCUUUCGUCCCACUGAUACCAAAUUUGCUCAGGGCAAUCUACACCCCAUGCCCAUUCAAAGUUGUAAAAAUCAUGACGCUGCACCCCACGGUUUACGUUCUAGGGGGCGCCAAAGAUGACCCAAAAAUCCACAUUCUUAAAAGUCAUUUUGGCCACUGCAGGAGUACAGAGUACUGCAGUUCUAGGGGGCGCCAAAGAUGACCCAAAAAUCCACAUUCUUAAAAGUCUUUUUGGCCACUGCAGGAGUACAGAGUACUGCAGGAUACACACACAUAUACACACACGCCAACACACACACACACACACACACACACACACACACACUCAGAGUCUGGUUUUUAGCACCUGCAAAAACAUGCUGUUUACAUAUUUGACAAGAAUGCAGAGGCUUCCUUUUGCCCCUGACAAAAAUCAAAUUUCAAACACAACUUGACUGUUCAUUUCUCCAAAAGACAACCAUGAAGCUCCAUCCAAACCUGAAGCAGAUAGUUGGUGCAUGUGUACAGUAACCUGAGGGGAGUGAGGUGACUAUUUCUGAGGAGAACAUGAGCAGUGAAGAUUCACCUUGGAGCUAGAACAGGGACGUGCACAUGAUUAUACAGGGGCAGGGGCUCAAGUUUUUUCCAGUCAUUUAUACAAUAUGGAAAUUAAUGUGAAAUUAAAAAACAAAGUAUUAAUAGAAAGGUUAUGACUGUCCUGUGUAGAUGACAGUGAUAUCCAAUAGGCUAGGCACUCACGAGGCUGGCUGUGGCAAGUGUAAGUGAAAGCAACACGCACUGGCAGGAAGAACAGCAAACGCCGAUGAAGGAAAGGGUCUUUGCAGUGAUGGGCGUUACCAGAGAGGACGAUGGCCAGAGGACGCGAAUGGGACGGGGAGGCAGCGCGUUGGGGGGGGCAGCGCGACACGGCUCGGGCCCGCCAGUGCCCCAACGGGGCCCUAGUGUUAUUAUUAUUAUUAUUAUUUUUCCUCCGCUUUAAACUGGAAAAUGGCCCACUUCCCACUGGCGAAAACUCAUGAAAUUUGGCAGGACGACCGGGCCUGGUGAAAAAUUCGAUAUUCUGCAGUCACCCAAAGAAUAAAAUGCAAAAUGGCUCCAUAGCGCCCCCUAAGGUGGAAAUUCACACUGUUGACUGUCACGCCUGUACGCUUUGCCAUAUUGACACAAAAAUUGACACGCACAUGUAUCUCAAUAAGAUCUACAAAAAAGUCAGUGCGGGCGUAUCUGUCAAAUGUACGGUUAAAGGGUUAUUUCGCAUUUUUUGCCGAUCCGCACACAUUGAAAUUUCGCUAACUCCUCCGAAGGCUUUAGUUCCACCGCCACCAAAUUUGCUCAGGCCAAUCUACACCCCAUGGCCAUCGAAAGUUGUACAAAUCAUGACGCUGCACCCUACGGUUUAGGUUCUAGGGGGCGCCAAAGAUAACCAAAAAAUCCACAUUCUUAAAAGUCUUAUAACUUUUUAUUUUUUUCCUCACUGGCCUCCAAGUUCUCUAGGAUGAUGCAAUGUCCAGCCAUCAACACAUUUGUGAAGGAAUUUUUACUCCCCAAAAGAGCGCCCCCACAUGGCAGGAGAAAAAAGUCCAUUUUUUCUUGUCCCCUAAGGUGAAAAUACACAUUGUUGACUGUCACGCCUAUACGCUUUGUCAAAAUGACACAAAAUUUGACACACACGUGUAUCUCAAUAAGAUCUACGAAAGAGUCGAUGGGCACGUAUCUGUAAAAUGUACGGUUAGAGGGUUAUUUCGCAUUUUUUGCAGAUCUGCACACAUUGGAAUUUCGCUAACUCCUCCUUAGGCUUUCGUCCCAACGACACCAAAUUUGCUCAAGCCGAUCUACAUCCCAUGGCCAUUCAAAGUUGUAAAAAUCAUGACGCUGCACCCCACGGUAUAGGUUCUAGGGGGCGCCAAAGAUGACCCAAAUAUCCACAUUCUUAAAAGAAUCCACACCCCCCCCCAAGGCAGGAGAAAAAGUCAAGUUAACCCUGCCCAUCGCUCAAUGGCUCAAUCGCAUCGCUCUCCCGGCAACCCCGUAAGGAGGAGCAACUUGCCAUUUGGACAUAUCCUAGCUGUGUUUGUGCCCUCACUCGUGGUCCAGACUUUUUUCAAAUAGGACAUGUAGUUUGUCUGCAGCCAGCGUUUUGGUAGAAACUGCGCCUCCCAUUCAUUAUAAUGGGAAAUGACCACAGACAAGUGCCCACACCAUCUUUGGACCUUGAGUGUGACGCGAUCGGGAGGGGGAGGCGUCGCGCUGGGGGCGGCGCGACGCGGCUCGGGCCCGACAGUGCCCCACCGGGGCCCUAGUCUUCUUAUUAUUUUUCUGCCCCUUUGAACUGGAAAAUGGCCCACUUCCCACUGGUGAAAAGUCAUGAAAUUUGGCAGGACGACCGGGCCUGGUGAAAAAUUCGAUAUUCUGAAGUCGCCCAAAAAAUCAAAUGCAAAAUGGCUCCAUAGCGCCCCCUAAGGUGAAAAAUUCACAUGAUUGAGUGUCACGCCUGUACGCUUUGUCAAAAUGACACAAAAUUUGACACACACGUGUAUCUCAAUAAGAUCUACAAAAAAGUCAGUGCGGGCGUAUCUGUCAAAUGUACGGUUAAAGGUUUAUUUCGCAUUUUUUGCCGAUCCGCACACAUUGGAAUUUCGCUAACUCCUCCGAAGGUUUUCCUUCCACCGGCACCACAUUUGCUCAGGCCAAUCUACACCCCAUGGCCAAUAAAAGUUGUACAAAUCAUGACGCUGCACCCCACGGUUUACGUUCUAGGGGGCGCCAAAGAUAACCCAAAAAUCCACAGUCUUAAAAGUCUUAUAACUUUUUAUUUUUGUCCUCACUGGCCUCCAAGUUCUCUAGGAUGAUGCAAUGUCCAGCCAUCAACACAUUUGUGAAGGAAUUUUUACUCGCCAAAAGAGCGCCCCCCCAUGGCAGGAGAAAAAUGUCCAUUUUUUCUUGUCUCCUAAGGCGAAAAUACACAUCGUUGACUGUCACGCCUUUACGCUUUGUCAAAAUGACACAAAAUUUGACACACACAUGUAUCUCAAUAAGAUCUACAAAAAAGUCAGUGCGGGCGUAUCUGUCACAUGUACGGUUAAAGGGUUAUUUCGCAUUUUUUGCCGAUCCGCACACAUUGGAAUUUCGCUAACUCCUCUGAAGGCUUUCGUUCCAACGGCACCACAUUUGCUCAGGCCAAUCUACACCCCAUGGCCAUUAAAAGUUGUACAAAUCAUGACACUGCACCCCACGGUUUACGUUCUAGGGGGCGCCAAAGAUAACCCAAAAAUCCACAGUCUUAAAAGUCUUAUAACUUUUUAUUUUUGUCCUCACUGGCCUCCAAGUUCUCUAGGAUGAUGCAAUGUCCAGCCAUCAACACAUUUGUGAAGGAAUUUUUACUCGCCAAAAGAGCGCCCCCCAUGGCAGGAGAAAAAAGUCCAUUUUUUCUUGUCUCCUAAGGCGAAAAUACACAUUGUUGAUUGUCACGCCUUUACGCUUUGUCAAAAUGACACAAAAUUUGACACACACAUGUAUCUCAAUAAGAUCUACGAAAAAGUCAAUGCGAGCGUAUCUGUUCAAUGUACGGUUAAAGGGCUAUUUUGCAUUUUUUGCCGAUUCGCACACAUUGGAAUGUGGCUAACUCCUCCUAAAGCUUUUGUCCCAUCGGCUUAAAAUUUGCUCAGGUCAAUCUACACCCCAUGGCCAUUCAAAGUUGUACAAAUCAUGACGCUGCACCCCACGGUUUACGUUCUAGGGGGUGCCAAAGAGGACCCAAAUAUCCACAUUUUUAAAAGUCUUAUAACUUUUUAUUUUUGUCCUCACUGGCCUCCAAGUUUUCUAGGAUGAUGCAAUGUCCAGCCAUCAACACAUUUGUGAAGGAAUUUUUUCUCCCCAAAAGAGCGCCCCCCCAUGGCAGGAGAAAAAGUCAAGUUUUUCCUGCCCAUCGCUCAAUGGCUCAAAAGCAUCGCUCUCUCGGCAAAACCGAAAGGAGGAGCAACUUGCCAUUUGGAUAUAUACUAGCUGUGUUUGUGCCCUCACUCAUGGUCCAGACUUUUUUCAAAAAGGACAUGGAGUUUGUCUGCAGCGAGCGUUUUGGUAGAAACUGCGCCUCCCAUUCAUUAUAAUGGUAAAUGACCACAGACAAGUGCGCACACCAUCUUUGGACCUUGAGUGUGACGCGAUCAAGAGGGGUAGGCGGUCGCGCUGGGGGCGGCGCGACACGGCUCGGGCCCGCCAGUGCCCCAACGGGGCCCU